rnacentral:rRNA from 1 species
GGAGAGUUUGAUCCUGGCUCAGAACGAACACUGGCGGCGUGGAUUAGGCAUGCAAGUCGAACGAGAAAGUUUCCUUCGGGAAGCGAGUACAGUGGCGAACGGGUGAGUAACGGGUGGAAAACCUGCCCUUCAAUGGGGGAUAACAGUCCUAACGGGCUGCUAAUACCGCAUACGAUGUUUUUACCGCAUGGUAGAAAUAUGAAAGAUGGCCUCUCUUUGAAGCUGUCGUUGAAGGAUGGUUCCGCCUCCAAUUAGCUAGUUGGUGGGGUAAUGGCCUACCAAGGCGACGAUUGGUAGCCGGCCUGAGAGGGUGUCCGGCCACACUGGGACUGAGAUACGGCCCAGACUCCUACGGGAGGCAGCAGUCGAGAAGCUUCCGCAAUGGGCGAAAGCCUGACGGAGCGACGCCGCGUGAACGAAGAAGGUCCUAUGGAUUGUAAAGUUCUGUCAGAUUGGGAAGAAAGCUGUGCGGUUAAUACCCGUAUGGUUUGACGGUACCAUCAGAGGAAGCACCGGCUAACUCCGUGCCAGCAGCCGCGGUAAUACGGAGGGUGCAAGCGUUGUUCGGAUUCACUGGGUAUAAAGGGUGCGCAGGCGGCCUGGUAAGUCAGGGGUGAAAUAUGACGGCUUAACCGUCAAACUGCCCCUGAAACUGUCAGGCUUGAGUCCGGAAGAGGUAGGUGGAAUUCCUGGUGUAGCGGUGAAAUGCGUAAAUAUCAGGAGGAACACCGGUGGCGAAGGCGGCCUACUGGUCCGGAACUGACGCUCAGGCACGAAAGCAUGGGGAGCGAACGGGAUUAGAUACCCCGGUAGUCCAUGCCGUAAACGAUGGGUACUAGGUGUUGGAGGAUUCUACCCCUUCAGUGCCGCAGCUAACGCAUUAAGUACCCCACCUGGGGAGUACGAUCGCAAGGUUGAAACUCAAAGGAAUUGACGGGGGCCCGCACAAGCGGUGGAGCAUGUGGUUUAAUUCGAUGCAACGCGAAGAACCUUACCUAGGCUUGACAUGCAGGGGACAGGUGUAGAAAUACACCCUUCUUCGGACUCUUGUACAGGUGCUGCAUGGCUGUCGUCAGCUCGUGUCGUGAAAUGUUAGGUUAAGUCCUGCAACGAGCGCAACCCCUAUCUUUAGUUGCCAUCAGGUUAUGCUGGGGACUCUAGAGAGACUGCCGGUGACAAACCGGAGGAAGGUGGGGACGACGUCAAGUCAUCAUGGCCCUUACGCCUAGGGCUACACACGUGCUACAAUGGUCGGUACAAUGGGCUGCAAUACUGUGAAGUGGAGCGAAUCCCAAAAAGCCGGCCUCAGUUCGGAUCGUAGUCUGCAACUCGACUACGUGAAGUUGGAAUCGCUAGUAAUCGCGUAUCAGAACGACGCGGUGAAUACGUUCCCGGGCCUUGUACACACCGCCCGUCAAGUCAACCGAGUUGGUUGCACCCCAAGUCGCUGAGCUAACCCGCAAGGGAGGCAGGUGCCCAAGGUGUGAUUAGCGAGGGGGACUAAGUCGUAACAAGGUAGCCGUAUCGGAAGGUGCGGCUGGAUCACCUCCUUUCUA